rnacentral:rRNA from 1 species
GUUCGAAUCCCACCCUCUCCGCCAAAUGCCCAGAUAGCUCAGUCGGUAGAGCAGGGGACUGAAAAUCCCCGUGUCGGUGGUUCGAUUCCUAUCACCAGCUCCAUGUAAAAUUAAUACGGAGGAUUUCCCGAGCGGCCAAAGGGGGCAGACUGUAAAUCUGUUGUCAUCGACUUCGGUGGUUCGAAUCCACCAUCCUCCACCAAAAAAAUGCGCGGAUGUGGCGGAAUUGGCAGACGCACUAGACUUAGGAUCUAGCGCCAUUGGCGUGGGGGUUCGACUCCCUUCAUCCGCACCAUUUUUGUUUGAUAUACAUAUAUAAAUUGUGGGUGCAUAGCUCAGCUGGAUAGAGCAACGCCCUUCUAAGGCGUGUGUCCGGGGUUCGAAUCCCUGUGCGCUCACCACAUAUAUUGGGGAUUAGCCAAGUCGGUAAGGCACAUGACUUUGACUCAUGUAUGCGUAGGUUCGAGUCCUGCAUCCCCAGCCAAAUGAUGUAUUACUAAGCUAUAUUUGAAUUAUUUUUAUUUUAAAUAUAGUUAGGUUCAAUUUUAGAAUAAGUUUAAGUAUCCGAAUGUGGAGAGGUGUCCGAGUGGUUUAAGGAGCUGGUCUUGAAAACCAGUGACUUCGAAAGGGGCCGUGGGUUCGAAUCCCACCCUCUCCGCCAAAUGCCCAGAUAGCUCAGUCGGUAGAGCAGGGGACUGAAAAUCCCCGUGUCGGUGGUUCGAUUCCGCCUCUGGGCACCAAAAUGUGGCGGUAUAGCUUAGUUGGCUAGAGCGUUCGGUUCAUACCCGAAAGGUCAUAGGUUCGACUCCUAUUACCGCUACUAAAAUUUAAUGUGGGCCAUUAGCUCAGUUGGUUAGAGCGCCCGGCUCAUAACCGGUAGGUCUGGGGUUCGAGUCCCUGAUGGCCCACCACAUUAAAUUAAUUAAUAUAAAUUCGAGGUGUAGCGCAGUUUGGUAGCGCACAUGGUUUGGGACCAUGGGGCCGGGGGUUCGAGUCCCUUCACCUCGACCAAUAUAAGGUGGGUAUAGCUCAGUUGGUUAGAGCGCCAGAUUGUGGCUCUGGAGGUCGUGAGUUCGACUCUCAUUAUCCACCCCAAUUCAUAUGGUCUAUUAGCUCAGUCGGUAGAGCACCUGACUUUUAAUCAGGGUGUCCCGCGUUCGAGUCGCGGAUAGAUCACCAAAAAGGUGGCGACAUAGCCAAGUGGUAAGGCAGUGGACUGCAACUCCUUGAUCCCCAGUUCGAAUCUGGGUGUCGCCUCCAAAAUAUUCCAAGGUAGCUCAACGGUGGAGCAACCGGCUGUUAACCGGUAGGCUGUGGGUUCGAGCCCCACCCUUGGAGCCAAAAAAGCCGAAGUGGCGGAACUGGCAGNGUCGCAAGACGAUGUAUAGGAGCUGACGCCUGCCCGGUGCUGGAAGGUUAAGGGGAUCUGUUAGAGCAAUCGAAGCAGUGAACUUAAGCCCCAGUAAACGGCGGCCGUAACUAUAACGGUCCUAAGGUAGCGAAAUUCCUUGUCGGGUAAGUUCCGACCCGCACGAAAGGCGUAACGAUUUGGGCACUGUCUCAACAACAGACUCGGUGAAAUUGUAAUUCCGGUGAAGAUGCCGGAUACCUGCGACAGGACGGAAAGACCCCAUGGAGCUUUACUGUAGCUUGACAUUGGGUCUUGGUACUACAUGUACAGGAUAGGUGGGAGGCUUUGAAACCAGGACGCCAGUUUUGGCGGAGCCAUCCUUGGGAUACCACCCUUGUAGUACUGGGACUCUAACCAUAGGCCAUGAAUCUGGUCUUGGGACACUGUCAGGUGGGCAGUUUGACUGGGGCGGUCGCCUCCCAAAAGGUAACGGAGGCGCUCAAAGGUUCUCUCAGUACGGUCGGAAAUCGUACGUAGAGUGUAAAGGCAAAAGAGAGCUUGAUUGCAAGACAUACAGGUCGAGCAAGGAUGAAAAUCGGACUUAGUGAUCCGGUGGUUCUGCGUGGAAGGGCCAUCGCUCAACGGAUAAAAGCUACCCUGGGGAUAACAGGCUUAUCUCCCCCAAGAGUCCACAUCGACGGGGAGGUUUGGCACCUCGAUGUCGGCUCAUCACAUCCUGGGGCUGUAGUAGGUCCCAAGGGUUGGGCUGUUCGCCCAUUAAAGUGGUACGCGAGCUGGGUUCAGAACGUCGUGAGACAGUUCGGUCCCUAUCCGUCGCAGGCGUAGGAAAUUUGAGAAGACCUGUCCUUAGUACGAGAGGACCGGGAUGGACGUACCUCUGGUGUACCAGUUGUCCUGCCAAGGGCAUGGCUGGGUAGCUAUGUACGGAAUGGAUAAGCGCUGAAAGCAUCUAAGCGCGAAGCCAACUUCAAGAUAAGAUUUCCCACCGCAAGGGUAAGACCCCAGAAAGACUAUCUGGUUGAUAGGUCGAAGGUGUAAGUGCAGCAAUGUAUUUAGCUUAUCGAUACUAAUAGGUCGAGGACUUGACCAA